rnacentral:rRNA from 1 species
CCUACGGGAGGCAGCAGUCGAGAAUAAUUCACAAUGGGGGAAACUCUGAUGGUGCGACGCCGCGUGGGGGAAUGCAGGUCUUCGGAUUGUAAACCCCUGUUAUGUGGGAGCAAACUAAAAAGAUAGUACCACUAGAGGAAUAGCCUGCUAACUCUGUGCCAGCAGCCGCGGUAAUACAGAGGACUCAAGCGUUGUUCGGAAUCACUGGGCGUAAAGGGUGCGGAGGCUGUUUGGUAAGUCGUGUGUGAAAGGCGCGGGCUCAACUCGCGGAGUGCACCUGAUACUGCGAGUCUAGAGAAAUGGGGGGGGAGCCGGAAUGCUCGGUGUAGCAGUGAAAUGCGUAGAUAUC